AUGAACACAAGUACACUGCCAAGAUUUACUGCAGAGAAAGUAGUAAACAGAACAGCUUACAGCACCUUUGGGGUUAUACAGUUCUCUCCUUUGUCUCCAGCAUUUGCAGAUGAUCUCCACACAUGUUGUCAUUUAACAUCCACCCACUCCCACCUUUUUUUUGGCCCAAGCCAGUCGGGAAGACCUCAGGCAGGCUGUGUCCGGGAUUGCUGUUCUACCAAAUGCUCCAGGAGCAGCAUGAAAGGGGGGAGCUGGAGGUCCUGCUCCACAGCACUGGCACCAGCCAGCACUUCCAGACGCCCUGAGCUGUGCAACCCCAAGGAUAUGAACCACACAUGGAAGUCUCAUGCUUUAUAA
rnacentral:lncRNA from 1 species